UGCGCAGGCGGUUUUGUAAGACAGGCGUGAAAUCCCCGAGCUCAACUUGGGAAUGGCGCUUGUGACUGCAAGGCUAGAGUAUGUCAGAGGGGGGUAGAAUUCCACGUGUAGCAGUGAAAUGCGUAGAGAUGUGGAGGAAUACCGAUGGCGAAGGCAGCCCCCUGGGACGUGACUGACGUUCAUGCACGAAAGCGUGGGGAGCAAACA
rnacentral:rRNA from 1 species